rnacentral:rRNA from 1 species
CCCCUAGUAACUGCGAGUGAAGCGGGAAAAGCUCAAAUUUAAAAUCUGGCGGUCUUUGGCCGUCCGAGUUGUAGUCUGGAGAAGUGCUUUCCGCGCUGGACCGUGUAUAAGUCUCUUGGAACAGAGCGUCAUAGAGGGUGAGAAUCCCGUCUUUGACACGGACUACCAGUGCUUUGUGAUGCGCUCUCAAAGAGUCGAGUUGUUUGGGAAUGCAGCUCAAAAUGGGUGGUGAAUUCCAUCUAAAGCUAAAUAUUGGCGAGAGACCGAUAGCGAACAAGUACCGUGAGGGAAAGAUGAAAAGCACUUUGGAAAGAGAGUUAAACAGUACGUGAAAUUGCUGAAAGGGAAACGCUUGAAGUCAGUCGCGUUGUCCGGAACUCAGCCUUGCUUUUGCUUGGUGCACUUUCCGGAUGACGGGUCAGCAUCGAUUUUGACCGUCGGAAAAGGGCUGGAGUAAUGUGGCACCUCCGGGUGUGUUAUAGACUCUGGUCGCAUACGGCGGUUGGGAUCGAGGAACGCAGCGCGCCGCAAGGCAGGGGUUCGCCCACUUUCGCGCUUAGGAUGCUGGCAUAAUGGCUUUAAACGACCCGUCUUGAAACACGGACCAAGGAGUCUAACAUACCUGCGAGUGUUUGGGUGGAAAACCCGAGCGCGUAAUGAAAGUGAAAGUUGAGAUCCCUGUCGUGGGGAGCAUCGACGCCCGGACCAGACGUUCUCUGACGGAUCCGCGGUAGAGCAUGUAUGUUGAGACCCGAAAGAUGGUGAACUAUGCCUGAAUAGGGUGAAGCCAGAGGAAACUCUGGUGGAGGCUCGUAGCGAUUCUGACGUGCAAAUCGAUCGUCAAAUUUGGGUAUAGGGGCGAGAGACUAAUCGAA